UAAAUGCACUGUAGCUGAUCUAACCAAGUUUUAAAGUAAAAAGGAGUAGAGUUCGACUAGCAUCCUGUGCCCCCGUUUUCAGAAAACAAAGGUGGAGACGCACUGGAACUAGCACCACGGGUCCCAGGUUGCAUGGACAGAGCCUAAGCAUGUAUACAUCAUCACUUACUGAACACCUUAGUUCCUGCUAUCACUACAACACCUGUGCUAGAAUCAGGAGGCGUGUUGGAGGUCGGCAUCUGUGGGCACAUGCUUAGAGCCCAUUUCUUAGCACAGGCCCCAUUACCGAUCACCAGAGCUCCCUCGCUUUGUUGCUGCUCCUCUUGGCAUUGUUACCUACUCACCUGCUCUGUUCUGCUGGCCCAGAGGGAGAGCACCCGCAAGGAAUGGAGAUACAGGAUCAGUCUCAAGCCCUGAACCUGGCAACCCUACUGGAAAGCCAUCACUCCCAGAACAGAAAAACGGACUAACAGGCAAGCAUUCUCCUGUCUACGCUUAUUACUUUCUUAUCUAUACAGCUAAAGAGAUUUGUCAAAGAACCAGCAAUUAAGAAAACCUGGGACUUCUGGGUGGAUUCAGGCCAGGCCUCAACAACCGCUUCAUCUGCUGGCUUGGCUUCAACAACACCAAAAAGCCACUCUGAAAAGCAUUUUUGAAAUGGAGCCUGAUGCUGGCCUUAGGAAAAAGGGGUUAGUCUGCCACGGUGUGAAGCUCGAUCUUGUUCUAUACCCACUGGAGAGAUGAUGAGAGAUCCAGCUCCUCUUCUGUCACUGGAAAAGCUGCAAAGUUUCCAGCGGGAGGAAACCUUCUAUUUCUUCUUUGCAAAGCUGCUGAAGCAAUAAUUGAACAACUAAGGACCUAAGAAAUACCCUGCUGGAACAGGCCAAAAGCCCAUCUAGGAUGCCUCCAGACUGUCAGUAUUUUGCAAGAGGGGUUCUAGCGCAUACCAGAACUUUAGGUUUGCACAGUUAAAGUAAAUUAAAGGUAGGGGGUGGGUGACAACCACCCAGUCUAUGCACCCCAUCAGCUUCACCUUCCCCUGUUCACAAAAAGACGCCUGGAAUAAAAAGGUUGAUGAAGCCAACCCAGGUCUGCUUUCCAGUCCGCUUUCAUUCAAAUGGCAAGCUCCUAUGCAUCAGGUUUACACAAUGAAGUCACCAUUCAAUGUCUCUCUUUAUAGCAUGAUGGAAUGAUACAUGCCGAGACUGGGAGUGACACGCCAACUUUUGGAUCAUGUUGCAAGUUUUCCAGAAUGUGUUAAGCCACGGGUCUUGACAUUCACAAGACAAUCACCACAUCAAAAUCCUUUGAGAGAAAAACAAGCGUUUCAAAGUAUAGCCGAAGCAGGGUUGUAGAACUGAAAGCCUGCAGGUCAGACUCAUCUGGAAAUGAAGGUGGCAGCUGAUCGAUCAUUGUCAGCCUCUCCUGGCAUCUGAGCCUGCUGGACCCAUUACAUCUGGAGCAACAAAGGGUGAUUUCGCCAAGGCUGCCAUAACCCGAAGAUGGCGAAUGUACAGCUGGAGUUCUAGGCCAGCGCCAGAGAGGCAGACCCGCAAAGCCGCCCUUUGCUUGUGCUGGGCCAGCUGCAGAAUUUCCACCGCUUGCUUUGGGGCCCAGCUGCGGGGCAAGCUGCAGCCCCAGGUCACCGAGGAGCUCCUAACCUUGCUGCUGCCCAUUUGGGCAGGGCUCUGGGCCUGGCGGCUCCCUCGGACCACCUCCAGUUGCCUCAGGCCGUGUCUUCCCCGCAGAGGCUGCCAUGGGCUUCAGCUGCCACCCCUCCUGCCAUCCUCGGCUACCUGCUCGGUACCACCGGCUUCCAGCAGUGGGUUCCCAGGGCUCCAGGCCUGGUGGCUCUCUCAGACUGCCUCCAGUUGCCUCAGGCAGCUUCUUCCUCAUGGAGGCCACCACGGGCUUCAGCUGCCGCCCCUCCUGCCACCCUCGGCCACUGGCUUACCCCUGCCGGCUUCCAGCACCGCCCCUACCCCAUUGCUGCCUGGGGUCGAAUCCGCAGCCAAGGCUGAGCCCGAAAGCAAGUACUUGCCCGAACUCAUGGCCGAGAGGGGCAGCCUGGACCUUUCCUCCACCCACAUCAUGCAGCUGCUGCAAGCGGCACUAAGAUUUCAACAGCACUAUGAGAAGACUCCCGGUAAUUCAUGCUGAUUCCAACAAAAUGUGCCAGCAACUCCUAACAACUUAAAUGACUCUGUCCUAUCUAUUUCUGAUGUUAUUCAUGGCGUAGGUGACUGUUCACUGUUUCUCAGGUUCCAUUGCAUACAUCCAAUCCAGUCCAGCAACAUCUGCAGGGUAUAAGUUGUAAUUGUUGUUUUUUAAUAAUUUAAUUGCUGUUGUUGUUUUAAAAAAUAAUAUUUGUUAUUUAAUUUUUGUAAAUUGUAUUGCCUUCAUUGAUUUUUUUUAUGCUUGUGCCUAUUUUUUUGUAAGCUGCCUUGACGGCCUUUGGCCAAAAGGCGGGGUAGAAAUAAAUUUAAUAAUAAUAAUAAUACUAUGACAAUAUUAAUGCUGGACAAGAGAGACAAAGUGUUCCUUCAAGCUUGGCCCAUGAAUCAAAC